UCAAAACCCCAGCAAACCCUAAUCUCAUUUUUAUUCUUCCUAAAAUCAAAAUCUUUUGAGUAUUGGGUAGACGUAGUAAGGUAGUGAUGGGUUGAAGAUGGUGGAGUAUUGGUAUUGGUUUUGGUUUUGUAUGGGAUUCUGGCGGAGGAAUCAUCAUCACAUCACUCAAGUACACACAAGACAGCAUAAUGACAUUUCUUACCAAAACUAAGACGAUGGAAGUGGUUUCUAAAUUGAUAAUGCAAGAACCCUAUGAAAAGGCAAUCUGCCAGAUAUCCAAAAUGGCACAAAGAUUCUUCAUCACCAUUGCUUAUUGCUACUCCUCAAGAUGCGAUAGAGGAUCAAAAGGGUGCAUGAGAACAUGACUGGUGAAAUUGAAACCACUGGUGAUGGUCAGAAGAGGAUAAGAGGAUAAGAGGAGGCAUACAAGUAGGAGAAGAGCCAACAGAGAAAAGAUGUUGCCGCAAUAGAUUUGAUGCCGUCCAACACCAAUCCCAACAGACUAACUCUGAUUUUGGUGUCUUGUUCAAUAAAAUUGAGCCUGGUGGUGUAUCAACUGUGCGUCCGCUGAUUCUACAUUGAAUAUAUGUCGUUGUACUAGAGACCUCGUAUCUUUUGCUUUUCAUGGAGAUCGUGAGGCCAACAAAGAGAAAAACACGAGACCUCCAAAAUAUGCAUGUUUUGUAGGAACUAGUUGACUCACCACCAAGAUCCACCUAUUCAGUAUUUGGAUACUAGUUGUGAUAGAUAUAUGGACAUUCCAUAAGAACACGGCGGUAGGACUCAAAACCCCAUGGACAUGAUGCCGAUGCCGAUGGAGGCGUUGACCUAUGAGAUAAACUGGACGGUGGUUGCCAAGGUGAGGCUUCUCUUAUUUUUGUCGUGGUAUUUCGUAUUCGAGUCAUGCAUGUAUCCUUUACUCAAUAAGUUUUGCUCCCUUUUUUCCCCAUUCUGUUGAAUACGGGUUGGUUUACCUUGUACUUCACCUAUAGCAUGU